GUACUGUUAAUUAUCUCAGUCUCCAAUUGCCUAUAAAUUGCAACCUCUAGAAUCCCUUCUGUCAGAUAGAUAUAUCUUCAGACACUGGAUAUUUCUCGAGAAUCAUUUACGUACCGUCAUGAGGACCAUACUUGUCAUAUGCGCCGUUACUGGCUUUAUGUUGAUGGUGGCAUCUCUGCAGGGCGAUGCCAAUCGGUUUGUAUUGAAGGACCGUCACUUGGCACAAGUCAAGAACGUUCAAACUCUGCCGGGUCGAAACCCACGGGUUCCAAGUAGAGGUUCACAAGACCAGCCUCAGCAUCAGCACCAGUCCACAGACAAGACACCACCCACUACCGAUUCUAAUAUGCAUGUUGAUCAAGCCAACGAUGAUGCAAACGAGAGUUAUGGUAAGUACGGACAUGGCUCUUCCAAAGAUGACUCUCACCGUUACUUUAUCGACGAUACAUUCAAGCCGCACAACUAAUUAUCAUCGUACGUACUGAUCAGGAGCCUUCAUGAAUCAAGGACGUGAUGUAUUAUGUAAACCUGUGUGUAGUUUUUAUUUUAGGUAAUAAAGUGGAACCAGUAGCAUGUGGCCAAAUAUCCAAAUUACAUUUGGGAGGGCGCAUGUUUACGUGUUCACCAGAUUUUUAGACGGUAAUCAGCUCUUGCCGUGUAUGUGUGUUUGAAUUGAACCCUUAUGCUCAUCGAUAUAUCAAUCGCGUUGUGUAUCAUAUAAUAACAAGCCAUAUGACUACAUGCAUAUGGCUGUGUGUUUUGCGA